AGGACGAACGCUUGCGACGUGCCUAAGAAAUGCAAGUCGAACGGGUGUCUCCUUCGGGGGGCGCUAGUGGCGAACGGUCGCGUAACACGUGGGCAACCUGCCCUGAAGCGGGGGACAACAGCUUGAAAGAGCUGCUAAUACCGCAUGUGCAUCGUGAGUGGCAUCACUCGUUAUGCAAAGGACUUCGGUUCACUUCAGGAUGGGCCCGCGGCCUAUCAGCUAGUUGGUGAGGUAACGGCUCACCAAGGCUUCGACGGGUAGCUGGUCUGAGAGGACGAUCAGCCGGAUUGGGACUGAGAUACGGCCCAGACUCCUACGGGGGGCAGCAAUUAGGAAUCUUGCGCAAUGGGCGAAAGCCUGACGCAGCGACGUCGCGUGAAGGAUGAAAUCUUUCGGGAUGUAAACUUCUUUUUCGGGAAGAACAAUGACGGUACCGAAGAAUAAGCCCGGCUAACUACGUGCCAGCAGCCGCGGUAA
rnacentral:rRNA from 1 species